rnacentral:rRNA from 1 species
GAGUUUGAUCCUGGCUCAGAAUGAACGCUGGCGGCAUGCCUAACACAUGCAAGUCGAACGAAGGCUUCGGCCUUAGUGGCGCACGGGUGCGUAACGCGUGGGAAUCUGCCCUUGAGUUCGGAAUAACAGUUAGAAAUGACUGCUAAUACCGGAUGAUGACGUAAGUCCAAAGAUUUAUCGCCCAGGGAUGAGCCCGCGUAGGAUUAGCUAGUUGGUGUGGUAAAGGCGCACCAAGGCGACGAUCCUUAGCUGGUCUGAGAGGAUGAUCAGCCACACUGGGACUGAGACACGGCCCAGACUCCUACGGGAGGCAGCAGUGGGGAAUAUUGGACAAUGGGCGAAAGCCUGAUCCAGCAAUGCCGCGUGAGUGAUAAAGGCCUUAGGGUUGUAAAGCUCUUUUACCCGGGAUGAUAAUGACAGUACCGGGAGAAUAAGCUCCGGCUAACUCCGUGCCAGCAGCCGCGGUAAUACG